UGGGGAAUAUUGGACAAUGGGCGGAAGCCUGAUCCAGCAACGCCGCGUGAGGGAUGACGGCCUUCGGGUUGUAAACCUCUUUCAGUACCGACGAAGCGAAAGUGACGGUAGGUACAGAAGAAGGACCGGCCAACUACGUGCCAGCAGCCGCGGUAAUACGUAGGGUCCGAGCGUUGUCCGGAAUUAUUGGGCGUAAAGGGCUCGUAGGCGGUUUGUCGCGUCGGGAGUGAAAACAGCGGGCUUAACUCGUUGCUUGCUUUCGAUACGGGCAGACUAGAGGUAUGCAGGGGAGAAUGGAAUUCCUGGUGUAGCGGUGAAAUGCGCAGAUAUCAGGAGGAACACCGGUGGCGAAGGCGGUUCUCUGGGCAUUACCUGACGCUGAGGAGCGAAAGUGUGGGGAGCGAACAGGAUUAGUAACCCU
rnacentral:rRNA from 1 species